rnacentral:rRNA from 1 species
UUGAACAUACCCUUCUCUAAGGAAUAGCCACUGGAAACGGUGAGUAAUACCUUAUACGCCCUUCGGGGGAAAGAUUUAUCGGAGAUGGAUUGGCCCGCGUUAGAUUAGAUAGUUGGUGGGGUAACGGCCUACCAAGUCUACGAUCUAUAGCUGGUUUUAGAGGACGAUCAGCAACACUGGGACUGAGACACGGCCCAGACUCCUACGGGAGGCAGCAGUGGGGAAUCUUAGACAAUGGGCGAAAGCCUGAUCUAGCCAUGCCGCGUGAGUGAUGAAGGCCCUAGGGUCGCAAAGCUCUUUCGCCAGGGAUGAUAAUGACAGUACCUGGUAAAGAAACCCCGGCUAACUCCGUGCCAGCAGCCGCGGUAAUACGGAGGGGGUUAGCGUUGUUCGGAAUUACUGGGCGUAAAGCGUACGUAGGCGGAUCAGAAAGUUAGGGGUGAAAUCCCGAGGCUCAACCUCGGAACUGCCUCUAAAACUCCUGGUCUUGAGUUCGAGAGAGGUGAGUGGAAUUCCAAGUGUAGAGGUGAAAUUCGUAGAUAUUUGGAGGAACACCAGUGGCGAAGGCGGCUCACUGGCUCGAUACUGACGCUGAGGUACGAAAGUGUGGGGAGCAAACAGGAUUAGAUACCCUGGUAGUCCACACCGUAAACGAUGAAUGCCAGUCGUCGGGCAGUAUACUGUUCGGUGACACACCUAACGGAUUAAGCAUUCCGCCUGGGGAGUACGGUCGCAAGAUUAAAACUCAAAGGAAUUGACGGGGGCCCGCACAAGCGGUGGAGCAUGUGGUUUAAUUCGAGGCAACGCGCAGAACCUUACCAACCCUUGACAUCCUGUGCUACUACCAGAGAUGGUACGUUCCCUUCGGGGACGCAGUGACAGGUGCUGCAUGGCUGUCGUCAGCUCGUGUCGUGAGAUGUUCGGUUAAGUCCGGCAACGAGCGCAACCCACAUCUUUAGUUGCCAGCAGUUCGGCUGGGCACUCUAAAGAAACUGCCCGUGAUAAGCGGGAGGAAGGUGUGGAUGACGUCAAGUCCUCAUGGCCCUUACGGGUUGGGCUACACACGUGCUACAAUGGCAGUGACAAUGGGUUAAUCCCAAAAAACUGUCUCAGUUCGGAUUGGGGUCUGCAACUCGACCCCAUGAAGUCGGAAUCGCUAGUAAUCGCGUAACAGCAUGACGCGGUGAAUACGUUCCCGGGCCUUGUACACACCGCCCGUCACACCAUGGGAGUUGGUUCUACCCGACGACGCUGCGCUAACCUUCGGGGGGCAGGCGGCCACGGUAGGAUCAGCGACUGGGGUGAAGUCGGAACAAGGUA